rnacentral:lncRNA from 10 species
CUGGGUUCUAGAGCUUGAAAUCUGGAUUCUGCAUCCCAGAGGCUGGAGAUGAUCACUGAGAUGACCCAAGGCUUUGGGUAUUUGAGGCUGGCUUCCAAUGUCUCAGAACCCCAGAGGGCCCCAAGCAAUUAUCUAGAGUCUAUUUUGGCUUAAUUAAUGAGGAGGUCCCAAGACAGGAGGGACUGACCUCACUCAGGUCACCCAGUGAAGGAUGGGACCUGUUGUAAGCGUGGUCUCUCCCCAUGUGUGGAAAGUCAUCAUCUUUAUGGGAAGGAUUCAGCCAUUCUAGAACUACAGGCCCCUGGAAUUUCUAGAAUAUCAGACUUUCAGAUUCUAAAAGCACAGGCCCUAAGACAUUCUGGCAGUGGAGGACACUCUGGAAGGUAAGAUUUUAGAAUAGCCUAGAACCACAGAGCUCCAAACACUCUAGAACCUUCGAACAUCGGGCACUCUGGAGUCCCCAGAAACCUCAUGCAUUCUAGAACGUCGGGUCUCCAGACAUUCUACAAGCCCAGACCGGCAGACAUAAUAGAUCCCCAGGUUGGAAGCUAUUCUAGAACUCCUAUGUCCCUUUGCCUCCCUCCCCACAAAUUGAUGCUCAAAGUCUGCGGGCCUCACCCUGGGCCACCGCUUCAGCUGAGCAGCCCUGUUUAUGGAAUGCGGCUGCAGGCCACUCCUCCGUGCCAAGUGCUCUCUUUGUAGGAUCUCACUCCGGCUCCCGGCAGCCCUGUGAGGUGUUUAUAUUAAUAACCUUAUGGCUUCCUGCUGAAUACGGAGGAAACUGAGGCCCAGACAGGAGGCAGCACAAGCAAGGUUCCUGCAGAAGCGAGAGGCCACGCGGGAGAGGAAUCAGUGUUCCGACUCCGGAACGCCCGGUGGGCCCUUUCGCCGCCACCCCUGCAGCCGCCUCCCUCUGUUGGGGCGCGGUGGUGACGAGGGAAAGGAGCCGAGCCCCUGGGACUUCCUCGGUGCCAGGUCUGUGCUGAGCGCUUCCCGUCACGAUCGCACGUGCUCCUCCUCCUAACCAGCCUAGGCAGGUACUGAUGAAGCACCCCUGAUACAGACGGGGACACUGAGGGCGCUCCCGCCGCGCCGAACCCAGGCGCGCACCCGGUCUGCGCUCGGCUCCCUGGAGGGCGCGCAGCCAGCGGCUCCCGCAGCCCCGCCCCCACGCGGUGACGUCGGCGCCCCGUCCCCGCCCACUGUGUCUGGCUCAGGCUCGCGCGAUCGAUGUCCUCCUGGACGUGUCCGCGGACGUCCUUCACCUCCACCGCGGCCUGGGUCCCGCCCACCGCGGCCUGAGUCUCACUUUUGCCCGGCUCCUCCUCCUGAGAACGUUCCCUGGGAGUUUUUCAUCAACUCCCGUGGUUCAUCCACCAACCACGCAGGUCUCCUCCAUCUGACCCUGAACUCCGGCUUGGGCAGCCACCUGCUCCUGGGCGCCCCCUGCACCACUGUCCCUAGGCCCCUCUCACUUACCGAGUCCCAACUCAUUGCUCUAUUUCCCCAAACCCUCCUUCCCUGUUCUUCCACGUUCUUCAUCUCAGGGGCAGCGUCACCGACCACCCAGUUAUUCGGCCAGACGCCCUUGGCACUGACCUUGCCCCAUCUCUCCCCUUAUCCCCUACAGCCCAUCGGUCCCCAGCCUUGUCCCUUCGGCCCCUGCCUCUCUCUGCCCCGUCCCCUCCUCUCUGUCCCCUUGGCCUGGCUCCAGCUCAGACGUCCUCCUCUCUCUCUGGACCCUCGCUCCUCCUGUCCGGGAGGACAGCCUCCUGUCGGUCACCACGUGGCCCUAGAGGGUCUCUCUGCACUUGGAGAUCACCCCGCCCCUCCCCUGCUCACAGCCUUCCCUUGCAGCUCCCCAUCACCCCUGGGCAAGGUCCCGGCUUCUCGGUCUGCAGUUUUAAGCCCUUUGAGAUUCCCCAGCAGGAAAAAGCCUCCCCUCAAACCCCCUUCUCAGGGGGCCUGCAGACUGCCCACCUCCGGAGCGGGACUGGACUCGUGGUGCCCGAAGGGCCUCCCCAUGAGGUGCUGGCCCUCUUCUAACUUAGUCUCACCACGGCCUCCGUUCCUUCUGGAACCAGACAAGCUGCUGUUUCAGGGCGCUGGGUCUGGAUCCAGACAGCAUGGGUGCAGAUCUCUGUUCCACUACUUACUAUUUUGGGAGACCCUGGACAGUAAGCAAGCCUGGAUCUGAGAGAGAUAUCAUCUUGCAAGGAUGCCUGCUUUACAAACAUCCUUGAAACAACAAUCCAGAAAAAAAAAGGUGUUGCUGUCUUUGCUCAGAAGACACACAGAUACGUGACAGAACCAUGGAGAAUUGCCUCCCAACACUGUUCAGCCAGAGCCUUCCACCCUUGUCUGCAGGACAGUCUCAACGUUCCACCAUUAAAUACUUCUUCUGUCACAUCCUGCUUAUUUAUGCCUAACCAAGGUUCUAGGUCCCGAUCGACUGUGUCUGGCAGCACUCCACUGCCAAACCCAGAAUAAGGCAGCGCUCAGGAUCCCGAAGGGGCAUGGCUGGGGAUCAGAACUUCUGGGUUUGAGUGAGGAGUGGGUCCACCCUCUUGAAUUUCAAAGGAGGAAGAGGCUGGAUGUGAAGGAACUGGGGGAGGGAAAGUGUCAGUUCCGAACUCUUAGGUCAAUGAGGGAGGAGACUGGUAAGGUCCCAGCUCCCGAGGUACUGAUGUGGGAAUGGCCUAAGAAUCUCAUAUCCUCAGGAAGAAGGUGCUGGAAUCCUGAGGGGUAGAGUUCUGGGUAUAUUUGUGGCUUAAGGCUCUUUGGCCCCUGAAGGGCAGAGGCUGGAACCAUUAGGUCCAGGGUUUGGGGUGAUAGUAAUGGGAUCUCUUGAUUCCUCAAGAGUCUGAGGAUCGAGGGUUGCCCAUUCUUCCAUCUUGCCACCUAAUCCUUACUCCACUUGAGGGUAUCACCAGCCCUUCUAGCUCCAUGAAGGUGCCCCUGGGCAAGCACAAUCUGAGCAUGAAAGAUGCCCCAGAGGCCUUGGGUGUCAUCCACUCAUCAUCCAGCAUCCACACUCUGAGGGUGUGGCCAGCACCAUGACGUCAUGUUGCUGUGACUAUCCCUGCAGCGUGCCUCUCCAGCCACCUGCCAACCGUAGAGCUGCCGACAUCCUCCUCUGGUGGGAGUGGCCUGCAUGGUGCCAGGCUGAGGCCUAGUGUCAGACAGGGAGCCUGGAAUCAUAGGGAUCCAGGACUCAAAAGUGCUAGAGAAUGGCCAUAUGUCACCAUCCAUGAAAUCUCAAGGGCUUCUGGGUGGAGGGCACAGGGACCUGAACUUAUGGGUUUUCCCCAAGUCUAUUGCUCUCCCAAGUGAGUCUCCCAGAUACGAGGCACUGUGCCAGCAUCAGCCUUAUCUCCACCACAUCUUGUAAAAGGGACUACCCAGGGCCCUGAUGAACACCAUGGUGUGUACAGGAGUAGGGGGUGGAGGCACGGACUCCUGUGAGGUCACAGCCAAGGGAGCAUCAUCAUGGGUGGGGAGGAGGCAAUGGACAGGCUUGAGAACGGGGAUGUGGUUGUAUUUGGUUUUCUUUGGUUAGAUAAAGUGCUGGGUAUAGGAUUGAGAGUGGAGUAUGAAGACCAGUUAGGAUGGAGGAUCAGAUUGGAGUUGGGUUAGAGAUGGGGUAAAAUUGUGCUUCGGAUGAGUUUGGGAUUGACACUGUGGAGGUGGUUUGGGAUGGCAUGGCUUUGGGAUGGAAAUAGAUUUGUUUUGAUGUUGGCUCAGACAUCCUUGGGGAUUGAACUGGGGAUGAAGCUGGGUUUGAUUUUGGAGGUAGAAGACGUGGAAGUAGCUGUCAGAUUUGACAGUGGCCAUGAGUUUUGUUUGAUGGGGAAUCAAACAAUGGGGGAAGACAUAAGGGUUGGCUUGUUAGGUUAAGUUGCGUUGGGUUGAUGGGGUCGGGGCUGUGUAUAAUGCAGUUGGAUUGGUUUGUAUUAAAUUGGGUUGGGUCAGGUUUUGGUUGAGGAUGAGUUGAGGAUAUGCUUGGGGACACCGGAUCCAUGAGGUUCUCACUGGAGUGGAGACAAACUUCCUUUCCAGGAUGAAUCCGGGGAAGCCUUAAUUCACGUGUAGGGGAGGUCAGGCCACUGGCUAAGUAUAUCCUUCCACUCCAGCUCUAAGAUGGUCUUAAAUUGUGAUUAUCUAUAUCCACCUCUGUCUCCCUCACUGUGCUUGGAGUUUACCUGAUCACUCAACUAGAAACAGGGG